CCCACUUUACACCGAGAAGGAAUCUAGCGAGCCAGAUCUUUCACUCGACCGUCAUAAACGUUAGUAGCGCACUAGAUUUGGGUCUCCAGACUGGUUUUGAAAUAAAGUUGAUAAAGCGUAUAAAAAGUCACCAGAUUGAUAGAAUUCUAAGCAAAUGUUUCUAACCGCGGAAAUCCGGAGAUCCCAUAGAGGGAUGCUCGAGUUAUGUUCAGGCGCUCGGUGGCUGAUCUAGGAAUUCGGACACUGUGCCCGUCGCAGUGAAUGAUGGAGGAGGAGAGAAAUAUUACACAUACACACGCCACACGAGUGGGGGAAUUUGAGACACACGUGCCCAGAGGCGGAGUUCAGCUUUUUCAGCAGUGAGGGCGUUAUUGGUAACAGCGUUAGGAGUUCAUUUUAUCGAAAUCUAAACACGUAGCGACUCAGGAGUUCAGUCUAUUUAUUUUUCAGUAGGACUCGACUGAUUCUCCUCUAUAUUUACUGUAACAGGGAUGUCCCCAUUCGCUGGAGACGUCUUGCGCGCGCGCGUGGUUUUCAUCUGUAUCUACUUUCUGUGGCUACACAAAGUCGAGGGCAAUGACUGUUCUGCCAAGUCUGAUCCGAAUGGCAUGACGUUUCAUCUACUUGAGGACGUAGCUUCCUGUAAUGAAUACAAUUGGUGUGUUGAUAAUACUGUGGUGGCCAAUGAAGAUCAUUUUAAUGACAUGAUGGUUCUCAGCAAAGAUCGUCGUAGCAUCACUUUUAAAACCUGUCCUAACAAUCUUACAUACAAAAAUGUCUGUAACGGGAAAAUCAUCAACUGCCCUUCCUGCCCCACAACCCCAACUACAAAUGUGCCGUCCCCCCGGAACAGUGGACAUGCUGAUGGUGUUGUUGCGGUCAUAUUUGUUGUUCUCUUUUGUAACCUCAUCUUUAUGUUGUAGAAGAGAAUCUGACAUCAAGAAGAUAUGUGAGAAGCCUGGUGCAGAUGUGACCUCAGCCAAAGAAUACCUCCUGAAGAAAACACUCUAAUAAAGCUGCGUGUUACUGUUUUUACUCUUUGGAUCAUAAUAGUUUUUUUUUUAAAGAACAUCCAUCCAUCCAUCUUCUAUACCGCUUAUCCUUUCUUCAGGGUCACGGGGAAACCGGAGCCUAUCCCAGGGAGCAUCGGGCACAAGGCGGGUUACACCCUGGACAGUGUGCCAAUCCAUCACAGGGCACAAUCACAUGAACACUCACACACCCAUUCAUGCACUGUGGACACUUUAGACACGCCAAUCAGUCCAGAUUCCAUAUAUAUAUAUAUAUAUAUAUAUAUAUAUAUAUAUAUAUAUAUAUAUAUAUAUAUAUAUAGAUAGAUAUAUAGAUAUAUAUAUAGAUAGAUAUAGAUAUAGAUAUAUAGAUAUAGAUACAUAUAUCAAAGCAAACCAAUGACUACAUUUCCCAUCCUGCACUGCAGACUACAAACAUGGCCACCAUGGACUACACUUCCCACACACCUUCACCUUCUCUGGAAUUCUAAUCACACACACCUCUUGCCAAUCUCACACUCACUCACUCAGCUAUAUAAGAGACUUUUUUGAACACCAUCACUUUGCGAAAUUUGUGUGUUUCACCAUACCAAGCAUUCGUACCCUGUGCAUUUGCAUCCGUCCUAAACUCCAUUACGUGGAUUACGUGACAGUUGAGGACCUCUGAUUUGGCCAGCACAUAAUUUAAUUAAUUGAGAUGGAUUGUAUAGCCAAAAUGAUUACAUGUAUAUUCUAUAUACAUGAUGUCUACUGCUCUACCAUAAACUCAACUACUAGGUCUCCAUGUUUCUUAUAAUUUAAUUUUCGUUUUUGAGAUAUUGUAAUACGCAAUCUGUAUACUCCCAUACAUGCCACCAGGGGCCAGCCUUUACCUGAGUUUUGAAACUCUGUGAUGGUUAUUCUCAUAUUGUUCACUUUAAAAGCACAUGGGUUUUUUAAAGAUGCUUAGCUUUGGAGGGAGACAACAAAGGAAGAAGUUCUACACGGGAACAGGGGUAGUCCAAGGUGGAAUUGUUUCCCAAAAGACAUACUAUACACUGUACACUUACACUAUGCACUAUACACUGGCAUCUAGUGUAUGAAUUUCAGAAGGGUGGGAUCAUCUCAAAUGGCUCACUUUCGGUAUUGUACUAUUCGGAGGUAUAUGCUGUUUCCUGGUCGAGGGCAAAUUAUGUCAAACGCACCUAAUGCGAUGGCGCUAGCAUUAGCGAAAUGGCCCAAAAGAUAACAAAAAUGAAUUGGUACAUUUUACUGUUUAUGUUAAUGUUUCCUUGUAUGCCCAACAAGACCUCAGUCACCGUUAGACGGAGGCAUAAUUGUCUCCGCAGGCGAAUUUUGCUUGCACAAUUUAAAAUCAACAUAUUAAGCUAUGGUUUUGACUAUGGCUGCUGGCAAUGUAAACAUCUUUUUUCACAUUCAGCAUCUGUGCCUGAUAAAGACCCUCCCAUCUGCUACAUAAGGAAAGCUGUGACCAUUGAGUGCAUGAAUUGUCCAUCAUUCCACGCUUCGUUUUUUUCGGUUGAAUGAGUGCACCAUCCAGGAACUUAAAGAACUCAGUGUGAACACACCAAUCACACUAUUUAUAUUACAAAAGUGUCUGAUUUGGGACGCACCUACAGAUUUGUCGGCCUUGUUCCUGCUUGCCAUUCUGAUAGCGACCCUGGACUCUUUUUUGACUGUUGCUGUUUAAUAAACUCUCCACAAAUGAACCCUUACUCUGUGCCCGAG
ensembl:lncRNA